rnacentral:lncRNA from 1 species
CUAGUUUUGUAUUACUGAACACUAAAACUAUAGGGGCCUCGUCUUAAAAGUCCAACAGGAUUUCCAGAGGUCUCUAGCCCGUUUAUAUAUUCUUAAAUAUUCAACUUGUAAAUAUUAUUUGUGGGUAAAUAAACUAAUCAAUCAACUGGCAAUCGAAAGCUUGUAGUUUUAAUCAAUAUUUAGAACCAGAGAAUGUCUAAAAACUUACUCAUUAUGGAAAAUCCUGUAAAUAAACGCUGUUUGUUGGUCACUAGUAAAAUUGCCUCGUUGUUUUGGGCUCAGUGCCAGUGUUGACUUUGUCUUUGAGCUUUCGCUAUCAACAUAAAUCUACAAAGCGGCCAGACGGUGCUGAAAUAUGACAUGCCAGACUUACUUCCAGCUUUCGAAUCUCAAGAA